AAAGUCGUAACAAGGUUUCCGUAGGUGAACCUGCGGAAGGAUCAUUAGAAAGCACCCGGGGGCAACUCCCCCGGGGCCAUCUAUUCUUGCCUUCUCAUCUAUGCUUUGGCGCAAGCCACUAGCUCUUCCAUUCGUGUUGUCGGUCCCAAUCUUUAACCAACAAAACUUUCAACAACGGAUCUCUUGGUUCUG
rnacentral:misc_RNA from 1 species